UGCAAUAUCAUUUGUAACUCAAUUGACUUAAUGAUCAAAACGAGUGUUUUUUUUUAUUAUUAUUUGCUACGUUGCUUCUAAGUCAACACUUAAAAAUCGCCGAAUAUCGCUCAUAAUUUUGUUAAAGCAGUUACAAGUUUGAAGACAUAUUGAUGAUAUAUUGAUAUCUGAAUCGAUAAAGGACAUUUAUUGCAAGCUUACCUUUUAAUUGAAGGUGAUCGGUGUUUGAUUAAGUGCGUUUUCUUAAGUGUAAGGUGAUAUAAGUCUUUUACGUUUUGAUUUGAAUGAAAUGAACAAGGUGAAAGAAAAUAUUUUGAAGGCUGUACCGUGUUUUAAUUGUACUAUGAGUAUGUGUUUAUGGAAAAGUUGUAUAUCAUUGUCACGCUAUUGGAUACAUUACUUUGCAUUUGGACUACUGAUAUUCAUUAAUAUGCCAAGCUUAAAAAUCAAAAGAGUUGUUGGCUGUAUAGUUCACCUGCUUUACUUGGUUCAUGCGACUGACCUUCGUGGUCCUACCUAUUUAGACCUAGAGCUCUGUACAGGAACAGAUCCUAUGUUUUGCGCUGAGGCUUCCUGCAAACGAUGUCUACCACAAAGUUGCUCCGACAGAGAGUAUAGACAUCGGUAUCGAGAAGGAUGCUGUGGUACUAAAGAAACGAUAGAAAAUCCAGAUUGUAUGGAUAUUUGCUCGGAUGGUAAAUAUGGAAAUGCAUUGAAGCAACACUACAUACUGCCUUAUGACUUGUACCUCUCGCGUUCUUAAGUGUACAUCUUGCUUGUGUUCUUACUUGUCUGAAUUCGU